CCCCUUCCCCUUUUGCUUUCUUCUCUCCUUCUGCUUUCUUUACUUCUAUUUGCUCUCUGGUGUUGGGGAAGACGCAUCUUUGAAGCCAUUGGCCGAGAAAAAGAUGGAAAGAGGUUUUUAGCUUGAGAAGGAGAUUUUUCGUUUGGAUUUAAGAUGUGAGUGGAGAUGGUUGUGAAGAUGAGAGCUAGGGAUUUUGAGAGAAAUGGAAGGAAAAGAAGAUGAAGGAGUGGAU
rnacentral:lncRNA from 1 species